rnacentral:rRNA from 1 species
CAGGACGAACGCUGGCGGCGUGCUUAAUACAUGCAAGUCAACUUGACUUUAGAUAGCAAUAUCGAAAAGUAGGGUGGCGCACGGGUGCGUAACGCGUAGGUAAUCUGCCCUGAGGUCUGACAUAACCCGUCGAAAGGCGGGCUAACAUCAGAUGAUAUAUAAUCACGACAUCGUGGAAAUAUCAAAUCUUCGGAGCCUUGGGAUGAGCCUGCGUCUGAUUAGGUAGUUGGCGGAGUAAUAGCCCACCAAGCCUACGAUCAGUAGCUGGUCUGAGAGGAUGAUCAGCCACACUGGAACUGAGACACGGUCCAGACUCCUACGGGAGGCAGCAGUAAGGAAUAUUGCUCAAUGGGGGGAAACCCUGAAGCAGCAACGCCGCGUGAAGGAUGAAAUACUUUGUAUGUAAACUUCUGUAAGAUGGGAAAAAUAUUCUCCUCGGGAGAAUUGAUUGUACCAUCAGAGUAAGCCCCGGCUAACUACGUG